rnacentral:rRNA from 1 species
GACGAACGCUGGCGGCGUGCUUAACACAUGCAAGUCGAGCGGAAAGGCCCUUUCGGGGGUACUCGAGCGGCGAACGGGUGAGUAACACGUGAGUAAUCUGCCCUGGACUCUGGGAUAGCCACCGGAAACGGUGAUUAAUACCGGAUAUGACACCUUGCUGCAUGGUGGGGUGUGGAAAGUUUUUUCGGUCCAGGAUGUGCUCGCGGCCUAUCAGCUUGUUGGUGAGGUAAUGGCUCACCAAGGCUUUGACGGGUAGCCGGCCUGAGAGGGUGGCCGGUCACACUGGGACUGAGACACGGCCCAGACUCCUACGGGAGGCAGCAGUGGGGAAUAUUGGACAAUGGGCGGAAGCCUGAUCCAGCAACGCCGCGUGAGGGAUGACGGCCUUCGGGUUGUAAACCUCUUUCAGUACCGACGAAGCGUGAGUGACGGUAGGUACAGAAGAAGGACCGGCCAACUACGUGCCAGCCGCCGCGGUAACAC